ACACUUAGAUAUUUAGCCACCGGAAGGGAUUACAAAGACCUUAGAUACAGUGCAAUAAUUUCACAUCAACUGUUGUCGGAAAUAAUUCCAGAAACUUGUUGGGCUAUCUACAAGGCAUUAAGAAAAACAAUUAGGCUGCCAUCUACGCAAGAAGAAUGGAAAGCAACUGCACAGUUAUUUGAGGAUCAGUGGCAAUUCCAUAAUUGUGUUGGCUGUAUGGACGGAAAACAUAUUUUGAUACUAAAACCACCUGGAAGUGGAUCUGUAUAUUAUAACUACAAAGGCACUUUCAGUGUUGUCUUAUUUGCUGUAGUUAAUUCUAAUUACGAGUUUAUGUAUGUACACACUGGAUCAAACGGAAGCAUGUCAGAUGGAGGAAUUAUAAAAAAUACAUUGUUUUAUGAAAAACUCAUGAAAAAGGAAAUAAAUUUGCCAGAGUCGUAUCUACUACCCGGGACUGAUGUUUCUGUGCCCUAUGUAUUUUUGGCAGAUAGUGCUUUUGCGCUUGAUGCUCAUGUUAUGAAGCCCUUUCCCGAAAGAAACAUUACAAGGGAACAAAGAAUAUUUAACUACAGACUAAGCCGAGCCAGAAGAGUGGUCGAAAACGCUUUUGGUAUACUUGCGUCUCGAUUUAGAGUAUUCCAGCGACCCAUGAAUCUCAAUCUUGAAAACGUAGAUGCAGUUGUCCUAGCAACUUGUGCCUUGCAUAAUUUCUUAAGGAAGAAGUCAAGAACCUAUUUGACAUCAACGUGUGUCGAUAAUGAAGACACAGAUAGAGGUGUAGUAAACAAUGGUGCUUGGCGUCAAGAUGGCAAUGUACUUACAUCUGUCCAAAAUAACUUUCAGAGACAUAUGAAUAACGGAAAGCAGGUUAGAAACGUUUUAACCGGUUACUUUAAUGGUGAAGGUAGCGUCCCAUUUCAAUAUAGAAUGGCAAAUGUAGUGCCUACGUGAAUCUAUAAUGAUGUGUGAAUUUAUUCUACAAAUAUAAGUACCUACGUACUUUAUAUGAGGAAUCCGUUGUUUAAUUUUCGAUGUAAUUCAAGAUGCUUCCUGUAACAGGAGCAAUAAAUUAAACUAAAGGCUGUACUCCUCAAACUGACCAACAUUUGUUCAGCAACUUUUAAAAAUUAUGAAUCCUUUAGACUUCCUCUUUUUCAUACAAAAUAAAUAUUGCCUUCAUUGUACGCUGACAUCAGUGUGUUUGACGUUACUUGUCACGCUUUUAACAUGACAAAAUUUGCAAUACAUUGCGUCUUAGAAUAAACUUUAAAGUGUAAUAAAAAUCAAACCAUGAGUUAUUUUCAAAAGUUGCUGAACAAAUGUUCGUCAGUUUGAGGAGUACAGCCUUCAGUUUAAUUUAUUGCUCCUGUUACAGAAAACACACUUUAUAAAUUUUACAGUUAGGUCAAGAAAUGAAUGCUCAAAAAACGUUGUAGAGGGAAAUGCUAGGAACACAAUUUUUGACUCCGUAACUUUGUUUGGACUAGUUAGGAGGUGAACAUAUCAAAAGUCCCUGGCUGUAGCCCCGCUGCUGGGGGGUAGAGGGGGGUAAGAAGGUCGAAUUUUUCGGUUUUUCAUUGAUAUCUUGGAAACUUUGCGUCUUAGCGACAUGACUACUAAGACAAACCGAAAGCUGAUAAAAUUAGUUACAAGUUUUAUUCAGUCAAGUUUUUCGACAUCAUGAAUAGUUUUUGAGAUACCCGCUCUUGAAAGUUUAUUUAGGGAUUUUAAUUUUAUCUUGAUAUCUACGUCAGUGAAGCUGUUAGGCCAUGUUUGGUAUCAUUUUCGUAUAAAUCGGGGGUGCUGAAUUCAUUUAUGGUAUCACAUUGACACUAUUCCGAAGUAAUACCAAAGUUUAAAAAAAAAAUAUUUUUUUAAAUCCCUCUUCACGCUUAAACCGCUGAACCAAUUUCGUUGUAAUUUGGUAUAGAAAUAGUUUCAGUCUCGACACAGAACAUAGGAUAGUUUUAAUAACCAAAAGCAUCUUUUGAGGGUGUGAAAAGUGGGGUGGAAGUUUGUAUGGGGAGUCAAUAACCGCUGAACCGGUUUAGAUGAAAUUUAGGACGGAAUACAUCUGUGAUUUAGAUGAAAAUGAUACCAAACGUGACUUCAAACCUUACCUUGAGCAGUAUUAACCUCAGGAAUUCAGUUUCGUCGACGAAGUUGAAUUCCCCCCAUACUCCAUUUCACAACUUUAAAGGAUGAUUAUUGAGAUAAAAUGUAUCUUAUGUCCUGUCUUGGGACUCGAAAUAUCUGUAUACCAAAUUUCAAUUAAAUCGGUUGAGCGGUUUAAGCGUGAAGAGGAA